ACAUGCUUACAACACAAUGUUAAUGCAUUGUAUCCCAUUAAAACUUCGCAAUUAAGUGCAAUCGGGCUAGAGUAGUACUGGGAUGGGUGACCGCCCGUGAAGUCCUAUUAUUUUACAUGCC
rnacentral:rRNA from 1 species